rnacentral:rRNA from 1 species
AACGUAGGUGGCGAGCGUUAUCCGGAUUUACUGGGCGUAAAGGGUGUGCAGGCGGGCUGUUAAGUGGUGCAUGAAAUCUCCGCGCUUAACGUGGAGAGGCUGUGCCAGACUGGCAGUCUAGAGUACGAGAGAGGGUUGUGGAAUUCCGGGUGUAGUGGUGAAAUGCGUAGGGAUCCGGAGGAACCCCAGAGGCGAAGGCGGCGCUCUGGCUCGCAACUGACGCUCAGACACGACAGCAUGGGGAGCGAACGGG